GCAUUAAUGGGGUAGUGGUAACCUGGGUCGUUGCCAUUCGAGUUCACUCGACCCGCCGGGGGUUCGAUUCCCUCUUAAUGCA